CUUUUCCUUCUUUUACCCACACCACACGGGCCUUCGACAUUUCUCCCAAUUUUGUUCUUCACACCACAGCGUCGACAGACUCGACACAUGAUUUGCUGAAAAAGGAAAAAAAUGAGUUCAGUCGCUUCUAGAUUCGUGAAAUUGUUGAGCAUCCCCGCUCAUUCCACACCCACCUCUCCCUUCGUGGUUGGCUCGCAAGUUUGCUCGAAGUUUUGCUACUCGACGGUGUCAUUUGAUAGUGAAAACAACAAUGACGGAAAGAACAUUGAAGUUGAUGAUGAUUUUCUCCCUGAAAAGCCCGAGUUACAACUCCAGAGUGUGGAUCCUAGUAGGGGUUGGGGUUCCCGCGGCGUGCAUAAGGCUAUUAUAUGUGGAAAAGUUGGGCAAGCUCCUAUGCAGAAGAUCUUGAGAAAUGGCAAGAUUGUAACAAUUUUCACAGUUGGGACAGGGGGCAAGUUUGAUCAAAGAACUUUUGGAGCAAAGGACCUUCCGAAACCAGCCCAGUGGCAUCGAAUCGCAGUACAUAAUGAUCCACUCGGAUCUUAUGCAGUUCAACAACUUGUCAAAAACUCUACAGUUUUUGUGGAGGGCGACAUUGAAACUAGAGUUUACAAUGACAGUAUCAAUGGGGAAGUUAAAAAUGUACCGGAGAUAUGUGUGCGUCGCGAUGGGAAGAUUCGCCUUAUAAAAAAGGGAGAAAGCAUCAGCAAAAUGUCCUUUGAUGAGCUGCGAGAGGGAUUGCUUUAGUAGAAAGGUUGUUCUCAUACUGGAAAUUUUUAUUAUGGAAAGGGAGAGCAGCUGAAGGAUCCUAUUCUUCUUGUGCAGGCAGUUUGAGGAGAAGGCUGCGGAGGGAAGUGGGUGUAGGAAUACCCUUUGCUGCAGUUAUUUGAAAGAUUCAUCAAUGACUUCACAUAGGAUUAGGGUUAGGGUUGGUGGGUGCACUGCUUACACAUCUGUGGUUGAUAUAAAGUCGGGGCAGUCAGCUGAUUUGUGGAACUAUGGUAUCGAACUACAAUGGUUGCCACCAAACUGACUCAGUUGUUUUUCGGUGAACUGUCAUUGUAGGUUUCUGGUGUUUGAUCUUUGUGUUGCAUGUUUCUGCCGUGUUCUUGUCAGGUCUUUCGAGUGUCUCCUAUGUCAUGUAUGGUUUUUCUUUCUUUUUUCUGGUGUUAAACCGGUGAAGUGAAUUUCACUCUAUUUUUCCUCAGGUUUCUUGGCAAUAAAAAUGUGGUCUUUCUCCAGAGAUCCACUGGUGUCCUUUUUCUGAUUAUUGAGAAAACAGGAUUCUGUGAAGUUACACGUCAUUUUCUUCGUUUUCAAUUUUCAGAGGAAAAAGAGAAGUUGUGAUACGCAGGAGUAGGCCUCUAAUCCAGACGUCACGGCGGAUAAAAGAGUGCCUCAUCUACCCUUGGUCUUGGUCAAGUUCCAUACUUCCAUGUGUCAUGAACUUGUUUUCAUCUUCUAUUUCUUUUGAUGUCCAAGAUGGUGAAUGUGAUGUAUCUCAAUCGAUGAUAGAAUUUUUUUAUGCUUAGUUUUGAUUUUUAGGAUUUCAAACCAAUUCAAUUUCUUGUUUUCCUUUAUACAUCCAUAAUCCACGUAAAGAGCUGAAGUAAUACCUACACACACACACACACACACACACACACACACACACAUAUAUAUUUGUGGAUUAAAUCACAAAGAAAUAAGGCUCUGUUUGGAUCUCAGAUUCGUGGAAGGAUUCUAUGAAAUCUUAAGGAAAAAGAUUUGGAAUCGAGUUCUAACUUUUUUCAGUGAAUUUACCUCAGAACCAAGUUUCGCACAAUGGUUCUCAACAUUUUUUGUUGGACCCACCCUGAUCAUGUUUUCUGUUUUCAGAAAAGUCCAUAUGUCCAACCAUGUCAUGAGUGCUUCGGGCAGUGGGAGAUGCAAGCCUAUUACCGUUGCGUUUGGAUCUUGCAAUAUGUUAAACGUAAAGAACGGCAUAGAAGGAAUAUUGACUGACUGUAAAUUCCUCUCUGUUGUCAAAUUGGGUUAGGACAAUAUCAAUAUUCAUCAGGAAUGAUUAACUAAUUUCAUUUCUCUUCUGACAAGUUCAAAGACCUGUUUAAUUUAACUGCGCAUGGCCACAUCUUCUAUUGGGCUAGUACCACCUUAUAUAACAACAUAACUAGGGUAACUGGUUCGUUACUCUCCCUUCUAAGAGAGAGAUCCGCAGCUCGAGCCGUCACGAAGGAGGUGCUCGACUCCCGUUGUAACUACUAACCAUUAUAAUGCUAGUCAAACCAAAGACAAUGAACAUGAAUGAAGAUACUGCAAAAGUGGUCAUUUAGCAACAAUCUCUUUUACUUACAUAUUCAACCGGUUAGCAAUCAAAUCUUUGGAACCAUAUGUAUCAGAAUUCAGAUGGCAUGUUUAUUCGCUGUCGGUCAGUCCAACAGCUGAGCACAACCACAACCAACACAAAAUAAGCAAUCUGCGAAACAGUUACCUUUGGUACACUCUUUCAUCUCCUCCAUAUAUCAAGAAGAAACCGGGAGGAAAAAAAAAAAAACAAAGCAAAAAAAACAAGACAUGCUCACACUGCCAGAGGAAAAACCACAUUGAUACUGCAUUACGAAAUUAUGCAGUCACUGUGCGUGUACUCGGCCUCUUUCCUUCCAUGGCAUCUUUCUUUCGUCGACAAGUUGCACAGAGAAAGGGGCCUUCCCAUGGCUUUGAUGCAGGUGAGAAAUAGGGCCCGGAGUUAACGGAUAACCCAUCACUUGGUGAUUGAUCCGUUUGGCAAAUUGCACAUCUGAGAAGCCCAGAGUUUGCAGUCAAGGGAAAAUCCUUGCCCAGC